GACAGAGGUCUCGAGCGUUAGGCGGAAUCACUGGGCUUAAAGCGUGUGUAGGCGGAUCGUUAAGUGCCUUGUGAAAUCCCAUGGCUUAACCAUGGAACUGCUCGGCAUACUGGCGAUCUUGAGCUACUUAGGGGCAACCGGAACAAAUGGUGGAGCGGUGAAAUGCGUAGAUAUCAUUUGGAACGCCAAUGGUGAAAACAGGUUGCUGGGAGUGUGCUGACGCUGAGACACGAAAGCCAGGGGAGCGAACGGG
rnacentral:rRNA from 1 species